GAUGGAGCCGAGCAGGGAGCCAGUGGAGGUGAGGAUGGAGCCGAGCAGGGAGCCAGUGGAGGUGAGGAUGGAGCCGAGCAGGGAGCCAGUGGAGGUGAGGAUGGAGCCGUGGCCAGGCCGUGUGCUGGGCGUGCUGUGCUCCGGCCUGCGGGGGCUUGUGCGCUGAGCUGCAGCAUCCCUGCUUUGCAGCAGACCCUGAGCUGACAGCUCCUUGUGCUCCCCUCUGGGCCCAUCUCCCUUCAAACUGUGUGUCCAGGUGAGGCAGAGUGAAGGACUGUGGCUGGGUUAGCCCCUGCUGCUGCUGGGGAAGCAGUGAAGCAGUGAAAGGUGUUGCUGGGGGAACAGGAGAGCAGUCUAGGGCGGUGAGCAGGGACAAGAGGGGACAGCUCAGAGGUGGUGAGCGAGGACACAGCAGCUGGUCGGGCUCUCUGCGUGGUGGGCAGGCUGGGGGACGAGUACAGGACCACGCUAGGUGAGGGUUGGUGACAGUGUACUGUCAGAGUGGGUCUGUGAGUGAGAAGUGAGGCAUUGAGGGACACUGGGGAUGAGCCUGGAAAGGAUUUGAAGGGGUGAGCUGAGCUUGCACAGGCUGGCCAGGUGCAGGCAGCUGCUGGCAGGGGGAUGUGGCAUUUCCAGGACAGGGUUUUUCAGUGCCAAGGCAGGUGGAGGCCGUGCAGGCAGAGCCUGCUCCGCUGCCAGGCUGGAGCAGAGAGGAAGGCACGGCGCAGUGUGGAGCAGGGAGCCAGGGCAUGCAGCACCAAGCUGUGGAGUGUCCUCCCCCUAAUCAUCUAAUCCUUUGGCUCCUCAGCCAAAGCCUUUUUCGUGCUCUCAAGUCACAUUUUCAAACACUUCCCAUCACCACAAACUCCCUGCUUUGCUUUAUAGACAAACCCUCCCAUUUCCAAGCAGUUGUUUUACCCCAGACCAAGCCUGGGAGCUGCAGUGCUGGCAUUGGCACCUUCAGGGAUGAGCACACUUCCAGCCCUCGAUGGAGAGUGAAUUGCUGCUGUCCACAGGGGUGCUUCAUCACACCUCUGGUUUGCACCCUCUGGAAAAGUGAAUCCAAAUCCUCAGGGUCCCCUACCAGCUCUCGAGACACUUAUGGCUGAAAGCCAUCUGUGGGGGCUUGCAAGGGAUCCAGAGCUUGUUCCUUUUCUGCAAACACUUCUAUCACCUGCCUGGUGCUGAGCCUCUACGAGGCCAUGAUUGAAGGGGUAUGAACCAAAGUCCUGAUGUCCACCCUGCUUCAUGUGGAAGCACUCAAUGAGGUGGGGAUUUGGCACAGUUUUCCUCCCCAUCCUCCCUCCUGUCCUGCUUCUGCUUUGCUUUGUUGCUUGCUACUCUCACUUUCGCCAGCUCUGUCUCUGCUCAAUCUGCCUGCAGCUAACCCCUGGCUGGCACCACCUCUGGGGCUCCUCCAGGGCUCAGCCUGGCUGCUGAGGAAGGUGCAUCACUUCUCUCUGCCCCGGUGCCCUUGGGGCUGAGGGCUGCUGAGGAGCAGUGUGUGCAUGAGAUCCUGGGGUCAGCACGAGCUGUGCUGUGCACCCUCCACCACACAAGACUGAAUGGACUUGAGGAACCAGAGGGUCAAGUGGGAAGGAAAGAAGGACAUGUUUCAGUGUCCCCAGCAGUGCCUGGUGUCCAGGGGAGCUCUGCACCAGCCACAGAGCAGGCAGAGUGGGAGAGGAUGCUGUUUGGUACCUGGUGCUCCUGUCCUCGAGGCACCACUGUCUCCAUAUGCCCUGUCCCACAUGUCCCCACGUGCCAGCCCCUCUGCUGGGGAGCCGACAUCCCACUGCCAGCUUGCAGCAGCUGAAGGUGCAGUCAGGGGGUGUGAGGCUGGUCCAGCUGGGAGGGAGAGGUGGGCAUGACAGCAAGCACGAGGCACGGCGCUUACAGGGUAGGGAGGGUUGAGCUUGGACAGGGAUUUCGGUGUGGGCAGACAGAUCAUUCAGGGGAAAGGACAGCAGGAGCUCAGCUCUACACACGAAGCAGAGAAGGGAGAGCCUGAGAGGAGCAGCAGCAGGCCAGAGGUCUCUUCCAGGCUGGGCUGCCUCAGGAAGCAGGUGGGGGAAUCAUCUCCUGGGCCACGGCUCCGGUCCAUCCCUGCCGCACACACAGAGCUCAGGCUGUGUCCCGUGAGGGGCUGUGGGGACCAGCUGUGGCCUUGGGCUCCUGCCCCACACUCUGCCCACAGGGGACAGUGGCAGGUGCCCCACAGGGGACAGUGGCAGGUGCCCCACGGGCCGAGGGGGUGCUGCCAGGGCCGGGUGGGAUGCUGCCAGCCUCAUGCUGCACCGUGGGUGUACACAUGUAAAUGACCCCUCCUAAGUCAGCACUGCCUCCAAGACUCCUCUCUAGCCUCUCACUUUUGUUAUGGACCUUGACAGGGGUUUUAUAGCUAUAUUUUUUGUCCUUUCUUUUCCUACAACUGUCGUAUUACUAACUGUUGACUCAAUCUGUCUGGGAAGCCAAUCUGUCAAUGUAAGUGCACUUAACCCUUGGGUGUUGUCAUUAGUCAACUGGCUUUUGCUAAAUAAAUCUUUCUAUUUCUCAAG